GGACUACACGGGUUUCUAAUCCCGUUUGCUCCCCUGGCUUUCGUCCCUCAGCGUCAGAGCAGUCCCAGAAAGCUGCCUACGCCAUCGGUGUUCCUCCGGAUAUCUACGCAUUUCACCACUCCACCCGGAAUUCCGCUUUCCUCUGACUGUCUCAAGUCGACCAGUUUUUGAAGCACUUUCCCAGUUAAGCCAGGAACUGUCACCCCAAACUUGAUCGACCGCCUGCGGACGCUUUACGCCCAAUAAAUCCGGACAACGCUUGCCCCCUACGUAUUACCGCGGCUGCUGGCAC
rnacentral:rRNA from 1 species